ensembl:misc_RNA predicted gene, 27849
UGAUCUCCCGGCGCCAUCGGUCCUCUUGGCCUCCUAGGCCUGGCCGCCAUACGUCGGCCCGCCAACUGCUUCCAACCACCCAAGCAACCCAACCUUUUGGGCGUUCCAACGCGGCGCCCCCUA